rnacentral:sRNA from 1 species
CUUUCCCCAAUCUGUGAAGUAGCUAAUAAUAUAGAACAGAAUGCUCAAGAGAAUGAAAAUGAAAGCCAAGUUUCAACAGAUGAAAGUGAGAACUCCAGGUCUCCUGGAAAUAAAUCAGAUAACAUCAAGCCCAAAUCUGCUCCAUGGAACUCUUUUCUCCCUCCACCACCCCCCAUGCCAGGGCCAAGACUGGGACCAGGAAAGAGUGAUGAUUCUGACAUUUGGGAUGAUACAGCACUGAUAAAAGCAUAUGAUAAAGCUGUGGCUUCAUUUAAGCAUGCUCUAAAGAAUGGUGACAUUUGUGAAACUUCGGGUAAACCAAAAACCACACCUAAAAGAAAACCUGCUAAGAAGAAUAAAAGCCAAAAGAAGAAUACUGCAGCUUCCUUACAACAGUGGAAAGUUGGGGACAAAUGUUCUGCCAUUUGGUCAGAAGACGGUUG